rnacentral:rRNA from 1 species
UACGUAGGCAGCGAGCGUUGUUCGGAAUUACUGGGCGUAAAGAGUGUGUAGGCGGUGCUCUAAGUUUGGUGUGAAAUCUCCCGGCUCAACUGGGAGGGUGCGCCGAAAACUGGAAUGCUUGAACGUGGGAGAGGAAAGCGGAAUUCCCGGUGUAGCGGUGAAAUGCGCAGAUAUCGGGAGGAACACCGGUGGCGAAGGCGGUUCUCUGGGCCUUACCUGACGCUGAGGAGCGAAAGCGUGGGGAGCAAACAGG